GAAUUGCAAUUAUUUCCCUUGAACGAGGAAUUCCCAGUAAGCGCGAGUCAUUAGCUCGCGUUGAUUACGUCCCGCCCUUUGCUACACACCGCCCGUCGCUACUACCGAUUGAAUGGUUUAGUGAGGUCCUCCGAUUGGACCCGGUCCGGGCGGCGACGUCCGAGCCGGCGUCCGAGAAGACGAUCUAACUUGAUCAUUUAGAGGAAGUAAAAGUCGUAACAAGGUUUCCGUAGGUGAACCUGCGGAAGGAUCAUUA
rnacentral:ncRNA from 1 species